rnacentral:rRNA from 1 species
AGUGAACGCUGGCGGUAGGCCUAACACAUGCAAGUCGAACGGCAGCACAGUAAGAGCUUGCUCUUACGGGUGGCGAGUGGCGGACGGGUGAGGAAUACAUCGGAAUCUACUUUUUCGUGGGGGAUAACGUAGGGAAACUUACGCUAAUACCGCAUACGACCUACGGGUGAAAGCAGGGGAUCUUCGGACCUUGCGCGAUUGAAUGAGCCGAUGUCGGAUUAGCUAGUUGGCGGGGUAAAGGCCCACCAAGGCGACGAUCCGUAGCUGGUCUGAGAGGAUGAUCGGCCAAACUGGAACUGAGACACGGUCCAGACUCCUACGGGAGGCAGCAGUGGGGAAUAUUGGACAAUGGGCGGAAGCCUGAUCCAGCCAUACCGCGUGGGUGAAGAAGGCCUUCGGGUUGUAAAACCCUUUUGUUGGGGAAGAAAAGCAGCAGGUUAAAACCCCGCUGUUCUGACGGUACCCAAAGAAUAAGCACCGGCUAACUUCGUG